CUUCUGUUGUUUGAAGCCAUCCAGUCUGUGGUAACUUGUUUCAGCAGCCAGAGAAAACUAAGACAGUUCCAUCUAUCCGUAUGAUUUUGAUCGUGACCUUAAUCGUCUGGCUGAGGUAGUGUUUACCGGUUUUCUCCCCUCUACACGUAUUAUUUGCCCCUCUGCAUACUGUGCUCUUCGGAAGGUCACUGUACACAGCCCCUUUCAGCAGAGAAUUACAUUCUGCAGCACAAGGAGGGUUUGUUUGUUGCUACUGUGAGAUUUCUACCAUAUUUUCAUGCGGUAUUUAUUACCAAUUUAAAGACUGAUACUGCCUCCUGAAGAAAUUGUGUGUAGCAACUUUGUUAAACCCCUUUAUUAAUACUAUUAGAUUUACCAUUUGCUUUAUUUGGAUUGCGUGUAAUUGUAAUUGCAAGUAAUGCUCUUACCUCUUUUUUCUCCGUGUUUGUAUCUUAUAUUUCUGUCCUAGGUCUUAUUGCAUUGGCCAGGACUCCAGGAGACUUGAAGAACGGCCGUGGUUGCAGAUCUAGUGUCCAGCUUAGGACUUUUGUCUUUUGGGACUCACGGCUUCCCCUUUACUCCCUACAUGUAAUUCUGCACCUAGCCCUUCAGGGACAGAGCUGAGCACUGCUGCAGGUCCAGCCGAAUAUAAGACUCUUUCCCUGCCCAGGAUGAUUGUUCCAGAGUGGGGAAGAAAUCUGCAUAUGGCCCACCAAGUUUCCUUGCUGUUUUUUGUCUGUUUACUUGUUUGGAGCUAGAAGAGGGGGAGAGUCUUAUUAGCUGGCUUGGGCAAGGGUGAAAAAAGAGAUAAGGAUUCCUGGAGGCUACGGUGCCCCAUACAGAGGAAAAAACUCUGCCUACAGAGAGAGUAUGAAACCAAGGAGAGAAUUAAAAAACAGUGGGAAUGUGAAGAGAGGGAAAACACUAGAGAUCUUGUUUUAAAAUCCCUGAAUCAGGGAUCCCUGGGUGGCGCAGCGGUUUAGCGCCUGCCUUUGGCCCAGGGCGCGAUCCCGGAGUCCCACGUCGGGCUCCCGGUGCAUGGAGCCUGCUUCUCCCUCUGCCUAUGUCUCUGCCUCUCUCUCUGUGUGACUAUCAUAUAAUAAGUAAAAAUUAAAAA
rnacentral:lncRNA from 12 species